CUUGAUCGACCCGAGCAACAGCGGCGUCUCGCGGUCCUGACCGUAGGCGGACAGCAGCGCCUGCGCCUC
rnacentral:antisense_RNA from 1 species